CCUACGGGAGGCAGCAGUGAGGAAUAUUGGUCAAUGGGCGCGAGUCUGAACCAGCCAAGUCGCGUGAAGGAUGACUGCCCUACGGGUUGUAAACUUCUUUUAUAAAGGCAUAAAGUGAGGCACGCGUGCCUUUUUGUAUGUACCUUAUGAAUAAGGAUCGGCUAACUCCGUGCCAGCAGCCGCGGUAAUACGGAGGAUCCGAGCGUUAUCCGGAUUUAUUGGGUUUAAAGGGAGCGUAGGUGGUUUGUUAAGUCAGUUGUGAAAGUUUGCGGCUCAACCGUAGAAGUGCACUUGAUACUGGGAGCCUUGAGUACAGUUGAGGUAGGCGGAAUUCGUGGUGUAGCGGUGAAAUGCUUAGAGAUCACGAAGAACUCCGAUUGCGAAGGCAGCUUACUAAGCUGCCACUGACGUUGAUGCUCGAAAGUGUGGGGAUCAAACAGGAUUAGAUACCCGAGUAGUC
rnacentral:rRNA from 1 species